rnacentral:rRNA from 1 species
AACGAACGCUGGCGGCAGGCUUAACACAUGCAAGUCGAACGCAUCCUUCGGGGUGAGUGGCAGACGGGUGAGUAACACGUGGGAACGUACCUUUCGGUUCGGGAUAACCCAGGGAAACUUGGGCUAAUACCGGAUACGUCCUUUGGGAGAAAGAUUUAUUGCCGAGAGAUCGGCCCGCGUCUGAUUAGCUAGUUGGUGAGGUAACGGCUCACCAAGGCGACGAUCAGUAGCUGGUCUGAGAGGAUGAUCAGCCACACUGGGACUGAGACACGGCCCAGACUCCUACGGGAGGCAGCGGUGGGGAAUAUUGGACAAUGGGCGCAAGCCUGAUCCAGCCAUGCCGCGUGAGUGAUGAAGGCCCUAGGGUUGUAAAGCUCUUUCGGCGGGACGAUAAUGACGGUACCCGCAGAAGAAGCCCCGGCUAACUUCGUGCCAGCCGCCGCAGUAAU